AGAGUUUGAUCAUGGCUCAGAUUGAACGCUGGCGGCAUGCUUUACACAUGCAAGUCGAACGCGAAAGCGGGGCAACCCGCAAGUAGAGUGGCGAACGGGUGAGUAAUACAUCGGAACGCGCCCUUUAGUGGGGGACAACGCCGAGAAAUCGGCGCUAAUACCGCAUACGCCCGAGAGGGGAAAGCGGGGGACCGCAAGGCCUCGCGCUGUUGGAGCGGCCGAUGUCCGAUUAGCUAGUUGGUGGGGUAAAGGCUCACCAAGGCGACGAUCGGUAGCUGGUCUGAGAGGAUGAUCAGCCACACUGGGACUGAGACACGGCCCAGACUCCUACGGGAGGCAGCAGUGGGGAAUUUUGGACAAUGGGGGCAACCCUGAUCCAGCCAUGCCGCGUGAGUGAAGAAGGCCUUCGGGUUGUAAAGCUCUUUCGGCCGGAACGAAAUCGCGCGGGCGAACAAUCCGCGUGGAUGACGGUACCGGAAUAAGAAGCACCGGCUAACUACGUGCCAGCAGCCGCGGUAAUACGUAGGGUGCAAGCGUUAAUCGGAAUUACUGGGCGUAAAAGCGUGCGCAGGCGGUCGCGUAAGCCAGAUGUGAAAGCCCCGGGCUUAACCUGGGAAUUGCAUUUGGUACUGCGUGGCUAGAGUGCGGCAGAGGGAGGUGGAAUUCCUGGUAGCAGUGAAAUGCGUAGAUAUCAGGAGGAACACCGAUGGCGAAGGCAGCCUCCUGGGCCAGCACUGACGCUCAUGCACGAAAGCGUGGGGAGCAAACAGGAUUAGAUACCCUAGUAGUCC
rnacentral:rRNA from 1 species